CCUACGGGAGGCCGCAGUGAGGAAUAUUGGUCAAUGGGCGCGAGCCUGAACCAGCCAAGUCGCGUGAAGGAUGACUGCCCUACGGGUUGUAAACUUCUUUUAUAAAGGAAUAAAGUGAGGCACGUGUGCCUUUUUGUAUGUACUUUAUGACUAAGGAUCGGCUAACUCCGUGCCAGCAGCCGCGGUAAUACGGAGGGUACGAGCGUUAUCCGGAGUUAUUGGGUUUAAAGGGAGCGUAGAUGGGUUGUUAAGUCAGUUGGGAAAGUUUGCGGGUCAACCGUAAAAUUGCAAUUGAUACUGGCAGCCUUGAGUACAGUUGAGGUAGGCGGAAUUCGUGGUGUAGCGGUGAAAUGCUUAGAUAUCACGAAGAACUCCGAUUGCGAAGGCAGCAUACUAAACUGCCACUGACAUUGAUGCUCGAAAGUGUGGGUAUCAAACAGGAUUAGAUACCCCUGUAGUC
rnacentral:rRNA from 1 species